ACGCUCGACACCUACAGGAGGCAGCAGUGGGGAAUAUUGGGCAAUGGGCGCAAGCCUGACCCAGCAACGCCGCGUGAAGGAAGAAGGCCCUCGGGUUGUAAACUUCUUUUGACAGGGACGAAACAAAUGACGGUACCUGUCGAAUAAGCCACGGCUAACUACGUGCCANCNCGCCGAGUAUNGNGGCGNGNGAGAG
rnacentral:rRNA from 1 species